rnacentral:rRNA from 1 species
CCUACGGGAGGCAGCAGUAAGGAAUAUUGGUCAAUGGACGCAAGUCUGAACCAGCCAUGCCGCGUGAAGGAUUAAGGUCCUCUGGAUUGUAAACUUCUUUUAUUUGGGACGAAAAAAGGGUCUUUCUAGACCAACUGACGGUACCAGAUGAAUAAGCACCGGCUAACUCCGUGCCAGCAGCCGCGGUAAUACGGAGGGUGCAAGCGUUAUCCGGAUUCACUGGGUUUAAAGGGUGCGUAGGCGGGAAGGUAAGUCAGUGGUGAAAUCUUCGAGCUUAACUCGGAAACUGCCAUUGAUACUAUUUUUCUUGAAUAUUGUGGAGGUAAGCGGAAUAUGUCAUGUAGCGGUGAAAUGCUUAGAUAUGACAUAGAACACCUAUUGCGAAGGCAGCUUACUACGCAUAUAUUGACGCUGAGGCACGAAAGCGUGGGGAUCAAACAGGAUUAGAUACCCUGGUAGUCCACGCCCUAAACUAUGAUUACUCGACAUUUGUGAUACACAAUAAGUGUCUGAGCGAAAGCAUUAAGAAUCCACCUGGGAAGUACGUCCGCAAGGAUGAAACUUAAGGAAUUGACGG